rfam:Camelus ferus unplaced genomic scaffold scaffold434, whole genome shotgun sequence.
GGAUGGUACAGCUCAAGUGGUAGAGUGCAUGCUUAGUAUGCAUGAGGUCCUGGGUUCAAUCCCCAGUAUAUCCA